GAUCCUGGCUCAGGAUGAACGCUAGCUACAGGCUUAACACAUGCAAGUCGAGGGGAAACGACAUCGAAAGCUUGCUUUUGAUGGGCGUCGACCGGCGCACGGGUGAGUAACGCGUAUCCAACCUGCCCAUCAAUUGGGAAUAACCUUGCGAAAGUAAGACUAAUACCCAAUGAUAUCUCUAGAAGACAUCUGAAAGAGAUUAAAGAUUCAUCGGUGAUGGAUGGGGAUGCGU
rnacentral:rRNA from 1 species